ensembl:lncRNA
AGCCUUUGUGGCAGAGGUGCGGGAAGGAGCGGAACGGAGCCUUUGUGGCAGCGGGCGGUGCGGCUGCUCCGCUCAUUUCCCGGUGCCGGCUUUUUUUUCUUUUUUUCCCUCGUGCACUUUAUUAUUUUUAAAGGAAAAGGAGCUUAGGGAAAAAAAAAAAAAGAAGGAAAAAAAAGAAGAAGAAGAAGAAGAAAGAAGGAAAACAAAAAGAAAAGAAACCUCGAUUUCUUUUUCUCUGCUUCCCCCGCUCCCCCUCCCCUCGAUGUGGCCUCUUGUUUGGCUCGUGGCGUGACCGUGAUGAAGAAAUGUUUCUGUGCGCCUGGCAGGGUGCUCCUUUUAUGUCAUGAGUCAGGAUUUGGCCAACGGAAGGAGCCCGCGCAGCGAGGACUGCGGGCCGCUGCUCUCCGGACCGGGAAGCUGCCAGGGGAUCCCCGCUCCGCCCCGGGGCGCCGCCGGGCACCGGCACGCGCUUUGUGUUGCAGAAACUGUGGCUGUCCUGGCAGCAUCCCAUCCUUCUUUCACCAAGGGGGGCAAAAGGAGUGUCCAGGAUGCAUCUCUAAAGAACAGUUGGAUGUUAUCAAAAUUACUACUGUGCCUACAUGUGUCCCUUGCAGCAUCAUUCCCUCAUCACUGAUUUGCCAGCACAGCACUACCCAGAAAGGAGUUUGCUGUUACCUGCCUAUGCAGUCCCCACAAAAGCUGCUGCUGAAAAUUCUCUCCGUACCUAUCAGAUGUUUCUGCACUGUGAAUGCUAAGGAAAUGCUAAGUAAUUUGACUGCAUGAUUUUUAAAGAAACCAACAGAAAAAUCAGAUUUACACAAUGAUUACAGUUCUGCUUGCUAAUAUUGAUCCUCCCUUUAAGGGAAAUUAAUGCAAAACAAGACUGGAGUUAUAAUGCACCAAUAAUGUUUUGCUUGUCUCAAAAAGUAAUGAUAGCUAGUGCUUUUGUAUCUUCUAUUUCCUUAUGAUCUAUUAAAUAUAAGUAGUUAAAACCCUAAAAUAAGAAUAAAGAGAGAUGACAGAGGUGGCAAGGCACCUAGAUGUGGAUCUAAAUAUAACCAAGGUUGUUUAUAUCAGUGAGCUCUGCCAAAGGAUAUGCGUUUAUGCAACUUUCUUGGUCGGGGAGUCAGUUUGCAAUGCUCCCAUGUGUUGUAUCCUUUAUUGCUCAUAUUUCAAAGGUAAUUUUUGCAAGAUUCUAAACAAAUAAAUAAAAAGCUAAAUUAUUAUCUCAGUUGUAGAAAUGGAGAAACUAUAAUAUUGAAGUUGACUGACUCUGUCAAGUAAAUGUUUAUUAUUAGAAAUAGGAUUCGAUUUCAUGUCAUCACUCCAAAUCUCACACUUCUUGCACUGGUGACCUACCAUAAAGAAAUACACGUUAAUGCAAUCAUUUUGAAGAGAUCGAUACCCAGGGAGGAGCUGUUUCCUGAAUUACCAGGUGAACGACUAAACAUUUCCUAAGGAUCACCCAAGACACUGAAGACAAAAUAUCUAUCGUUUUUUGUUACAGUUCAUAUUUCUGCUGCUUCUCAGACACGCUGUGAUUCAUCUCUGAGGAACACUUCACAUACUGUAGUUUAUUUUUCUAUCACGACACUCACAAUUUGCCAAAACUGCCAUUUCCCUUAUGCUGUUUGAGCAUUGCUAGCUCUGCAAUCAAAUGUAUACUGUCUGUUUCC